CAUAUUUCCAAACCGGGCCAGACGCCUGAGGGACACCGUCAGCCGUUGUGGUCGCUCUGCUUUCCCCUCUCUGAAUAGCAGGAGACGCUCAAAGCUUUCAGUAGUGGAAGAAGAUCUUCUCUUCCUGCUGCUCUCUGUCUGCUCCUCUCCUCUCGCCUCGUCAUGGACUACCUGAAGACGGUGGUGCCUUCGCAACUGAUCGCAGAGAGGGGCGCCAACAUAGUCGUCAUCAAUCCCGGCUCUGCAAGUAUCAGAAUUGGGCUUGCUUCGCAGGACACCCCAUAUAACCUGCCUCAUUGUAUAGCUCGCUAUAGUACCCAGCAGCCCAAGCGAAAUGUGCAAGACCAGAUGCUCAAUUCUCAGAUUACGACAGCCCAGCACAUGGAACGAGAACAUGCAUAUGAUAUUAUAGCUUCUCUGUUGAAGAUCCCAUUCUUGGAUGAGGAAGCUGCUAACAAUAACUCUUUCUCACGCAAGAUGGCACGUGUUGAUGGUUAUAACCUGCAGACUGCGAAAAAGGACACGCCUUUUGCCUGGGCUGAUGUGUAUGAAAAGUCUUCAGAAAGUUUUAUGAAUAAAGGGUCACCCACUACGUCUUAUGAGAAACAUGAGACCGUUGGUCCUGAGGAAUCCAGUUCAAGUGAACAACGUAAUUACCAGAAGUACAUCUGUGGUGAGGAAGCACUGAGAAUAUCCCCCUCUGAGCCUUACUGCUUGCACCGCCCUAUUCGUAGAGGUCAUUUUAAUGUUUCACAACAUUAUCCUGUGCAGCAGGUUUAUGAGGACCUUUGUACUAUCUGGGACUGGAUAAUGAUGGAAAAACUGCAUAUUGCUCCAUGGGAGAGGAACCUGUACUCUGCCAUUCUUGUUGUUCCUGAGACAUUUGAUAGUCGAGAAAUAAAGGAAAUGCUCACUAUAGUAUUGCAAGAUUUGCGAUUUGGCUCAGCUGUUGUACACCAGGAAGGUCUGGCUGCGGCUUUUGGGAAUGGUUUAUCUACGACCUGUAUUGUUAACAUUGGUGCUCAGACGACAUCAGUUGUAUGCAUUGAGGAUGGAGUGGCUUUACCCACCACUGAGAAAACUCUACCUUUCGGUGGAGAGGAUAUAUCAAGGUGCCUUCUUUGGACACAAAGGCAUCAUCAGACAUGGCCACAAGUUCGUACAGACAUGUUGACAAAGCCUGUAGAUUUGUUGAUGCUCAACGAGCUGAAGGAAAUGUAUUGUCAAAUAACAGAGGGUGAGGUUGUUGCUGCCGCUGUUGUUUACUCAUAUGAGGAUGAUGCACCAGCUGCCUCUCACAAGACGAGGCUAACUGCCCUUAAUGUUCCUCCCAUGGGUCUAUUUUACCCUAUGCUUUUGGUUCCGGACAUAUACCCUCCACCACCUCGCACUUGGUUUAAAGAUUAUGAGGAUAUGCUAGAGGAGACGUGGAAUACUGAUUAUGCUAGAAGACCUGAUAUUCCUGACCCUUUUUAUCUCGGUGCCAACAUCGGAUAUUCUAUGUGGGACAGCUAUCCCAUUUUUCAAACUAAGCCAAAAAAAGAAGAGAAAAUUGGCCUUGCCGAAGCUAUUGUGAAUAGUAUACUCUCCACUGGGCGUAUUGAGCUGAAGAGAAAACUAUUUUGUAGCAUACAGCUGGUUGGUGGUGUGGCAUUGACAAGGGGCCUAAUUCCUGCUGUAGAGGAGAGAGUGUUGCAUACAAUUCCCUCGCAUGAAGCUAUUGAUACUGUUGAGGUGUUGCAACCCAGGGCAAAUCCUACUUUUGCAGCCUGGAAAGGUGGUAUGAUCCUGGGAGUUCUUGAUGUAACUCGUGAUGCUUGGAUACACCGGGUUGACUGGAUUAACAGUGGGAUACACAUAGGAAGCGGUAGGAAGUACAAAGAUUCGUACUAUCUUCAAGCCCAAGCAACAGCAUACAUCAACCCUUGAAAAAGGAUGAUCUCUCUUGAUUUAUUUCCUUGCCUUUACUUCCAGUUGUUGGAAUGGAAGUUAGUGGUCCUCAAGAUCUGCUAUGUACAGAGCAUGAUGAAGAGAAAGUAUGAAGAUCAAUUUUGCUAGACGCAAUGCGGAAGCAGUUUCUCAUGCUGUUCUUAGGAGUUCCACAGAAUGCCUCCUGCUCCAGAAAUGAGCCACGAAUGCUAGUGAAGAUGAUACUCCUGAUCUUUCCUGACAAGUUCAGAUCAUCGUUGCAAUCACCAUAACUCUGGUUUAUGAUAGACGAUGCAUAGUUGCAUUAACUGAGGUAACUUGUAAUGCCUAUUAGUUAGAUGGGAGUCAUUUAGCCGGGCAAGUUGAUUGAACACAAGUGAUGGGAUGGGUUCUAGAUGAUUGACCAAUAUCCACCUUCGCAGUUGAAGGCCGGGCUUUUUACUGUCAUGUGCAUAAAUUAGUUAAGCUUGAGUAGCGGUUGUAUCUAAUUUUUCUAUUAAAGUUUUUCUCUAUGUUAAUUCAAUAGCAUCGCAUCA